AAUGGAGGACCGAACCCACGUUCGUUGCAAUGACCGGGGAUGACUUGUGGAUAGCGGAGAAAUUCCAAUCGAACUCGGAGAUAGCUGGUUCUCCCCGAAAUAGCUUUAGGGCUAGCGUUGUGUUAGUUUACCGGAGGUAGAGCACUGAAUUGGCUAAGGGGCGAUGAGCUUACUGAACCUUAUCAAACUUCGAAUGCCGGAUAAAUGGUGCACAGCAGUCAGACAGUGUGAGAUAAGUUUCAUUGUCAAGAGGGAAACAGCCCAGACCCACAGCUAAGGUCCCAAAUGAACGCUAAGUGGAAAAACGAUGUGGGGUUGCAAAAACAACCAGGAUGUUGGCUUAGAGGCAGCCACUCAUUAAAAGAGUGCGUAAUAGCUCACUGGUCGAGUGACCCUGCGACGGAAAAUAUAACGGGGCUAAGCGUCCAACCGAAGCUUGGGAUGUCUAAGGACAUGGUAGGGGAGCGUCGUGUAUAGGGAGAAGCAUGAGCGAGAGCAC
rnacentral:rRNA from 1 species